rnacentral:rRNA from 1 species
GACGAACGCUGGCGGCGUGCCUAAUACAUGCAAGUAGAACGCUGAAGGAGGAGCUUGCUUCUCUGGAUGAGUUGCGAACGGGUGAGUAACGCGUAGGUAACCUGCCUGGUAGCGGGGGAUAACUAUUGGAAACGAUAGCUAAUACCGCAUAAUAGUAGAUGUUGCAUGACAUUUGCUUAAAAGGUGCAAUUGCAUCACUACCAGAUGGACCUGCGUUGUAUUAGCUAGUUGGUGGGGUAACGGCUCACCAAGGCGACGAUACAUAGCCGACCUGAGAGGGUGAUCUGCCACACUGGGACUGAGACACGGCCCAGACUCCUACGGGAGGCAGCAGUAGGGAAUCUUCGGCAAUGGACGGAAGUCUGACCGAGCAACGCCGCGUGAGUGAAGAAGGUUUUCGGAUCGUAAAGCUCUGUUGUAAGAGAAGAACGAGUGUGAGAGUGGAAAGGUCACACUGUGACGGUAGCUUACCAGAAAGGGACGGCUAACUACGUG